AGACGUCGACCUGCAUUGGCCAGCAGCGUGGACGACAUAUGGUUCAUACAUCCGAUGGACAGGCUACUCUUCUAUCCCAGGAGGCCACGGGAGAGCAUACGUCAUUAUCAACAUCGCGGAGAUCAGCGGGGGUUUUCAAAUAUCUCCUCCUUCAGUGAUGCUCCUCCUCCACCAGUGAAACUCCUCCUUCAGUGAAGCUCCUCCCACUGCAGUUCACCAAUAAACGCUGGAAUAUUUCCCUCAGCUACAAGUGAAGACGAGCAUCAAACCAUCAGGAAGAGCUUACACAAACACAGAGUUUAUUGAAGGACACUGAGAACAUGAGAUCCAGAACACUGCAGAAUGAAACAUACUGAAGAACAAAGAGCGGCAAAAUUCUAAUCUGAAAAAUGAAGCCUACCCGGAAGUGGGAAAAACUGCAAUCCAUCGAAAAUCCGCUAGAGGCCGGUCCCAAAAGGGGGUGAAUAUCCA